UGUUUUUUCUUUUCUUUUGACACACCUCUAAAAAACAAGAUCCAGGGACACCCAGCGGCCAGGGUUCCCACCGCCGCCGCCGUCCCCUCGCCCUCGGCCGCCUCCCCUCAGUUCGUUAAAGAACCUCUUCCAAGCUUGCCUUCCUCGCCACUUUCUCUGGUCAUUGGGGAUGCACACUGCAUCGCCGCCCAUCUCCUGUGUCGGGAAAGGAGUUGCCACCAACGUUCCUCCGCGCGACCGGAGGUGCAGCCACCACUGUUGUUCGUUCGCACAACUAGAAACGACGCAAGUACCGACGCACCCGUCCUCCACAAAUGCAGCAGUUCAGCAGGUCUUAUUCUGUUGCUCGCGCAUCUGCAAUCCUUUAUUGUAUCCCUUAUUAAGGCUUCAUUCCAUUUGAUUUAUCCCCAAAGGGAACCAAUCAACAAAGGGAUUGGGUGGUUUCCUGCAUGUCACUUAGAUCUCUUUAGGCAUUGAAUCCCUUGCAUCAACUAUUCCCCUUCAUCUAAAUAAUGUUCGGUUAUGUACAUGGUUUGAUAGGGAUUGAUUAUUAUAUCAUGAUGGCAGAUAACGAAACAGAGAUUUGAAGCACAAGUACUCCUAUCAAUAACAAAUUUCAUGAAUCAAUGUACGUCUAGAUCGCAAUUAAUGCAUCAUCACAUUGUUUUUUCUAGACAAGCACAUGUUUCUUUACCCCGAUUAUUUCUAGUAUAUAUAUUAUCUAAUUUAAUAAUAAAGAAGAAGCUUAUUUGCUUGCUGCCUCCCUGUUGUACUUCACUGCAAAGGAAUUACAUAGUUACUAAUAAGCAGAGUAUUCUCUAAUAAGUAUGUGUGAUAAUCAACUCUUAUUAAUACUAAGUGGUUUUUACAACUGGAAAACAGAAAGACCAAAUACAUGCCCACAUCAACUGAUUAAUUGGUGAGGAGAAUUGGAUAAUUCAGGCUUAGCUAGGAUGUACCAGGAAACAAGGAUCAAGAACCCUCUCAAUCUAACCCAAGCCUACAACUUAAGAAGGAGAAGAAAGAGAAGGGAGACGUACUUUAGAGAAGAAGCAGAUGAUUGCUGUGUCGCCGUCACUGCCGCUGGAGAGAUGGCCGCCCCGUCCCUGUCACUUCUGCCUUGCAGUGCAACCUCGUAGCGCCUCGUUCCUGUCUAAUUCACGUCUUCUUUCUAUGCAUGAAUGUCAAGUCUAACACAAGGAGAAGACCCUCUAGCCUCUAAGAGCACUCGCCCAAGCUAGCGCCGCUGGCAGCAACUACGCCAUCACACCCUUGCCCACAGCCCCUGAAACCUCUCACCACUGCAACGUGAUCUUCCCCCAUCUUAUCCUCAUGAAGGGUCAAAGUGCCAGUCAGCGAUUCUGUUCCAUCUUUUCCAUAGUUGGUGAGCUAAUCUUCUAAUUUUUUGCCCCCAAGAAUUGAUUCCUCACAAAAUUUACAUCCCCGUUUUGCCUCCUACUCACCCUUGUUCAUGUGGAGCUAGCAACUUAAAUUGGGCAUGGAGCAAUCGUAAGUGCCAUUAGUUACUGUUUGUGUGUACAGUUCUGCUUGUUCAUUUUCCUAUAUGAUUACUUUACCUCGGCUCAUUGAUUUCAGCCGCUCUUUCAAAUUAUAAGUGGAUUAGAAUGAGGUAUCUGUGAUGUUUCAGUUGUUGUUCUUUCAAUUGUUUUUUCCUCUUACCUCUAAUUAAUUCAUUUAUUAUGUAGCUCCUUUUGUUUCCUUACAGAACCACACGCAGACCGGUAUACACUUGCCUCAUUGCAUUGCUAUUUGUAAAGUGAGAUAUUGUGCCUUUUGCAUUGUAACAAAUGAAUUCAUGGCAUGUAUAUUUGGCUCAGCUACCUUGGACUGCAUACACGAUUUUUUUAAUGUGUUGUGCAAUAUACUAAUGCUUAAGCAUGGAUUGUUUCCGCACCCAAGUGACCUCUUCUCAACUUCAUUUUCUUUUCAGAAUUUUUUGUUUAGUGGGUAACUACUCCAUAUUUGGUAACUUGAUUGUCUGGUUAUGACAACUGGAUAUGAGACCUCUGAUUGUGCCCGUAGUCCCGAUAAUUCUAUCAAUCAGGUUCUGAGAAUUUUAUUGAUGGAUCAGGAAACUAUAAUUUGUGACUUUGUAGUUCUCAGAUCACCAAGAUAAAUUGAUGAUGCAUCGCUCAGAUGCUGAUUGCACAGUUAAGAAUGGAGCUUCUAGAAGAUAAUUAGGAUGUCAUUUUUGGGAUCAAUUUUUCAAACAUUAUAGUUGAUUGCAAGGUCAAGAAUUGGACCACUACUAGAUAUAGUUUCACCUCUUGUAAUCUUUGGAUCAUGUUCUUUGUAAUGCAACGCAGUCGAUAUAAUAUAUGAGAACUUUCUGUUUGUUGUACUGUGGCCUGUAUGCUCUAUUGACAUUGAACAAAUAUAAUUACGGAUCGCAAUAUAUAAUAUCAUUAAUUCUAAAUGCUAUCUAGCGAAGCUUCUAGCCGUUGUUACGUGCAGGGUCGCCACCAACGCAUCUGAAGUGCUGUUGCGCUCUAGCUUUAUAUGUUGCUAUCUAACAACACUUCUACAUGUCGUUUACCAACGCAUGCGUAUACGUUGUCGUAGAUCCUUCCAACGCCACCAACGGCAACGCAUACUAAUCCGUUGGUGUAGACCUUACCAACGCAUAUAUGGGCAUACGACAACGCAUUGAUGCGUUGCUAAAAGGGGGUUUCUGUUGUAGUGACCACACAUUGUGAAUGACUGAAAUAAACAAGGCAUAAAUGACCAGUAUAACAACCAAAUA